UCUUUGGUGAUUUUAGCUGUAUGGUGGGCGUACUAGAAAUCCAUAGAGCUUUAUUACCAAAAACC
rnacentral:pre_miRNA from 1 species